ACUGCUUUGGCAGAAUUAUGCAUUGGACUUAGGAUCCAAUUAUGUGGGUUUGUAAUCCCAUAAGUAGUA
rnacentral:tRNA from 1 species